GAGGGUAUAGCUCAAGUGGUAGAGUGCAAGCUUAGCAUGCAUGAGGUCCUGGGUUCAAUCCCCAGUACCUCCU
rnacentral:tRNA from 1 species